GGUAACGGUGUGGCGGGGGGCGGGGGAUUGCGGAGUGUGGGGGUGUUAGCCGGAAGUAGUGGGGGUAAGGUGCUUGUAGGCGUGUUGUCGGUGCUGCGGUUGAAUGCCGGGGCUCAGCCCCUGACUUGCAGUGGGGACGGGGAGAGUAGAGGGUGGUAGGGGAGACUGGAAGUGCUGGUGUAGCGGUGGAAUGCGCAGAUAUCAGGAGGAACACCGAGGGCGAAGGCAGGUCACUGGGCCAGUACUGACGCUGGGAAGCGAAAGCAUGGGGAGCGAACAGGAUUAGAUACCCGUGUAGUC
rnacentral:rRNA from 1 species